rnacentral:rRNA from 1 species
GACGAACGCUGGCGGCGUGCUUAACACAUGCAAGUCGAACGGAAAGGCCCCAGCUUGCUGGGGUACUCGAGUGGCGAACGGGUGGGUAACACGUGGGUGAUCUGCCCUGCACUCUGGGAUAAGCCUGGGAAACUGGGUCUAAUACCGGAUAGGACCGUGCUUUAGUGUGUGCGGUGGAAAGUUUUUCGGUGCAGGAUGAGCCCGCGGCCUAUCAGCUUGUUGGUGGGGUAAUGGCCUACCAAGGCGGCGACGGGUAGCCGGCCUGAGAGGGUGUACGGCCACAUUGGGACUGAGACACGGCCCAGACUCCUACGGGAGGCAGCAGUGGGGAAUAUUGCACAAUGGGCGCAAGCCUGAUGCAGCGACGCCGCGUGGGGGAUGACGGCCUUCGGGUUGUAAACCCCUUUCGGCAGGGACGAAGCUUUUGUGACGGUACCUGCAUAAGAAGCACCGGCUAACUACGUG